rnacentral:rRNA from 1 species
UACGUAGGGACCAAGCGUUGUUCGGAUUUACUGGGCGUAAAGGGCGCGUAGGCGGCGUGUUAAGUCACUUGUGAAAUCUCUAAGCUUAACUUAGAACGGUCAAGUGAUACUGACGUGCUAGAGUGCAGAAGGGGCAACCGGAAUUCUUGGUGUAGCGGUGAAAUGCGUAGAUAUCAGGAGGAACACCGGUGGCGAAGGCGGGAUCCUGGGCCAGUACUGACGCUGAGGCACGAAAGCGUGGGGAUCAAACAGG